AAAUGCUGGGAUUACAGGCGUGAGCCACGGUGCCUGGCAGCUUUUUAAAAACUUAACAUUUUUUAAAAAAGGUAUUACAGGUGUACUAAGUAUAUGCAUAACUGGGGUACAAAUGUGAAAGCCCCCUUUGACCUCACACUCUUUUGUCUCUUGCCUGGAGGUACUCCCUGCUAACGCUGUGGUGCUAUGGUGUGCAUCUCCACAGGUAUCUGCAGACAUGGCCCUUGAUCCUUCUGAUGGUAUAUAUCGUUCCCUGCUGGCUUUGGCGUCCGGAGACCUCACAGCUUUGGGCAGGAAGUAGACCUUUGGAGGCACCCUGACACCAACCAGGCUGCAUCUGAGCUCUGCCAGGCCGUGGCCAGCAGCUGGAAGUGAGAGCUGUCCAGGUGUUUGCCACCUUGGGGAUCUGGUGGGCAGCCAGCCAGCCCUGAACAGCACCAGCAGCGGUUGCCCUGUGCGUCCUCUGAAUUGCAACCAGAGCAGCAGCCCCUCCAAGGACCAAUAGUGAAGGGUUCUCUUCCAUCAGCAAUGAUUAGUCCUUCCUUCUGUCUUCCCUGUCAUCCACCCCACCCAGUCCCACUCAGAAACUUUCUCUGGAGCCCUGUAUGCCAGGCUCCAAACAAGGCUCUGCUACAACAGCUGGGCCUCCCUGGGAACUAGACCAGGGUCCAGAGACCAGCCUGACCCCAGGGCCAGGGGACAUGCCUGCCCAUGUCUGACCUGGUUGCCAGGGGAUAGCCACAAGGGGCUAAAAAACAUCACCAGACUGUCCCCCCAACAAGUAAAAAGGCAUCUGUAUGUGUGUGUAUGCACACGAGCUAUCUGCCACCCUCAACUAGAUCCUGGUUUAAAAAGAAAAAAAAAAAAAUUACAGCAGCAGUCUUUAAAAAAUGUUAGCCAGGCUGGGCUCAUGCCUGUAAUCCCAGCACUUUGGGAGGCCAAGGCAGGCGGAUCACGAGGUCAGGAGUUUGAGACCAUCUUGGCCAACAUGGUGAAACCCCAUCUCUACUAAAACACAAAAAGCCAGGCAUGGUGGCACACUCCUGUAGUCCCAGCUACUUGGGAGGCUGAGGCUUGAACCUGGGAGGCAGAGGGUGCAGUGAGCUGAGAUUGUGCCACUGCAUUCCAGCCUGGUGACAGAGCAAGACUCCAUCUCAAACAAAAAACAAAAAAACACAGUUGGCCAACAGUCUUUGGACACCUGGAGAAAUGUGAAAAAAAAAAAAAAAUGAGAUAUUUAGAUGAUGUUGGGAAUUUUUUUCAAUUUUCUAUUGGUGUCAGGGUGCUGUGGUUUUAUGUAGGACGAUCUUUUUUUUAGAUGUAUGCUGAAGUGUUUAAGAGUAAAGUGCCCGAUUCCUGCA